UAAGUGUGCUAUGAACCAUGAUAACAAAAGCAUUAUUCCAGUUUUUGCAUGGGAAAUAACAAAAAUGCUAGAUUCCCCUUAUACCAAAAGACAGACACUUCGUUUCUUGAAAAUACUCCAUAAGUAAUGGCUACAAACAGACUGACGCAUGCGUAGUUGAAAAUACACAUGAACGUAAUGCCAAUAGCGGAAAACACAACUCGAGUCUGUAGUUCCAUUUAACUUAGUAGUAUAAAGUAAGCGAAAAGCAGUGGAGAGUGGCUUUGGAAACAUUCAGUAAAGAAGAGCCUCUUGCAACGCAAAAUAAACUGAUUGGGUAGUCUUGCUGAUUCUUAGAUUCAGAGGACAGUAUUUGUAUGACGAGAAUGGCAAUUCGUAUUUGGACUGUAUCAGCAACGUUCAGCACGUUCAGAGGCCAAUGAUCUAGCAUUAACACUUGGAACCCAACAUGAAGACAUUGUGUUUGACCAUUCUGGAAACUGACAGAACAGAAAGAGUGGCUUUACAUGGUGUGCAAGAGGAUACAUAUUGCAUGCCUCUAUUCUUUGUUCGGCAGACACCCAGCGUCAGUGGACGUGAUUGAGGACCUGAGUGGGAACUCCUCAAGUUGGCGGACACCUAUUGGACCUGCUGACGCAGCUACAGACCUAACAUCCAAUCAUUGGAGACAUCCGGCACGAGAAUUAUGGCCGGAAUUGUGUUUAGAUAAUGACUGUUUUCCUUGGCCCAGGCACUGCUGACGCAUGCCAGAUCUUACUACACCCGGAUAGGUAUUUUAUAUAUCAGUUUACCACAUUAUAGCAAUCUGGUGUUCAAAGGCAGUCGAAGACUUUGCACGCAACCAUUAGUCAUCUGAGCAGGGGAACGCACCCAUGGUCUCUAUAGUAACCAUUGACUACCUACAUAAGACCAUGCAGCCAACCUUGCAUUCUGAGAUACUGGCUGAAUAGUGGUUGUGUGGGCAUGGAGAUAGUCACAGAGCUAAUGGGCUGAUUGUGGGCUUAAGCCUUUUCAAAUAAAUCUCAACAUUACCUUUAAAUAAGUGCAAGCAGAAAUAUCCUUUCCUGUUCAACUGAAAGAGCAUAUCUGGGUCAGCACAGAAAGCCCCUGGGAGAACAGUCAAGUUUAAGCCUCCCAUGUGCUUCAGUGUGGAGAACGCAGAGCUGGUGGCACACCCCAUUCUCAUUGGCGAUUGGAACACAAACCCUGCAGCCUUGAAAUGAAGCAUAUUACAGGGACACUCACAUCAGUUUAUUACUCACAGGUGAUCGGAAUGUCCCACAGCUAAUCUUGGUCCCCCUAACCUACUGCAGUGUUCUCAGAACUGAAGGAAACUGAUACCUUUAUCUGCCAACACAAUAGAUGGGAAUAGGGGUUGGACCAGGCCAAUGACACUUACUCAACACCAGCAAAGCAGGUACAGUAGAACCUGUUGACAAAUAUCCCCCCCCCCGGACAUCAAAAACUGGACAAUGGAGACAGCUAAGGUUUGUACAACCCUGUAGAAAUAUUUAAUUGCAUCAGACAGUAAGAUUUGGUCACAGUCAGGUAGCGGUGUGGAUAGUAUCAAGUACUCUAGUAGAUGAACUGUUAAAGUGCAUUUCAGACAUUUGGAAUUCGUAAAGGUCCUUGCUAUUCAGCAUCUGUGGGACAUCCCAUGGAUCCCAGAUAAUAACCAUUUCAUAAAGCAGAGCACCAGACCUGGAGCCAUCUUGGAGGAUGACAGACUGCAGACAUAAAAGAAAGCCCAUCUCAUGGAUCCAUACCACAAUUAAGGCUACAAAGCUAAAUGAUUUCACCUCUAGAGCUAACACGUGGAAUUACUGCACGCUUUUGGUUCUGCAUGAAGGACAGAAACAGAGCAAUGCAUUUCUCUAUUAAAACACCAUGCACUUUUGCUAUGAAAUGAAAGCAUUUAAAAUACCUUCUGACGCUCACAUUUAUACUUCUGUGAAAAUAACCUAUGCCCCCACCACAUGGUAACUACAGAAUAACGAAGUACUAAGAACUCAAUGAAGUACUACUGAUACAGUAGGAAAGAGAUCAUGGACAUCAACUUGGAAUGGACACUGGCCCAGGCAGACUGAAGAGAAGACACUUCCAGCUGAUCUUGAUAAUCGCAACAUUGCAUGGCAACAGUGACUUUAUACACAAGUAUCAAAGGACUAUUAAUGACAAGCAUAAGUGGGGUAGGAGUGCACUUACCAGAGGACUACUGUUAUCACCUUAUCCACCUAGAACCAUAGCAAAUACUGUAGUUACACUUCAGAUCCAUAGCGGGGUAAGAUCCGCUAGCUCCAAAAGUAAAUCGACACGUACGUAGAACGGCUUUCACCCCAUUGACCGAUUCCCUCUGCCAGCGAAGUAUCUGCCACCGCAUCCCAAAGAGGCAUCCGUACAGAGCGAUUUUAACCUUAACCAAGACAAGCCAUUUAACAGUACAAAUCAGUUAACAUUAGGUUUAUGAAUAAUAACAAAAGGAUCCACGUGUAAUAUAAACCAAAAGUUUAUUUCUACCAAUUUGCCCAAGACACUAGAGGAAUGAGUUUCCAGUGAGAGAGGGAAGGCCCUCUUACAUUAACAGGCUUACGCUCGGUUGGAUUGUAUUGUUUGUAACACUAGUAGCCACUUUAAAAAUGCAGACAAUAUGGGAGGGGGGAAAGACUCCUUAAAAGCCAAAAAAACAAAUGCUGGUUGUCAUCGUCUACUAGCCAACUGCAAACAUUCACUAGACAAGCUUACAAUGAAACCUUUGAUUAGUUUAAUCCAGUCGCCUCACCCCACAUCUGAAGCCAUGCAACUCGCAUCAAACACUCAGCAUGACAAAAAAAAAAAAUUACAAAUCUAGAAACACCAACAAAAGUUUAUUUGAAAAGCUUACGAAAGCUCUGCUCCUGUUUGUUGGUAAGUCCAGCAGACAUGUAAAAUACGACCAUACAAUACAUUAUUCAAAAAGGUACCAAAAAGUACAGUAAAAAUAACACUUCCAUCUCUGGAAAUGGACACAAAACAAUAUCAAAUAAAAAGUGGAAGUGGCAUUUGCUUCCCCAGUUCCUCACUUCAUCUGUACAUAUGCGGCAUGAGGCCAAAUUUCUGCCAACUCCAAAGGAAAAGCCAGAGCCCAUGUUCGCUGUGGCCGGACCAUGGGUUUCUUUUUUCUUAUUUACUUUAGACCUUAAGAGAGAAACAUGGUGCUUACAGUUACUGAGCAUAUCCAAAUGGCAUUUAGUAUUACACACAUGGACACCAUGAUGUUUAUGAACUAGUAUUUUUUUUAAACAUUACAAUCACAUUGCUCCAGAGGGGGAGCACAUCAAAGGGGACAUGACACCUAGCUGCCAUACCCAGCACCCCAUCAGAAAGGCCCUAAUGCUUAUGCUGGGGCAACCACCACCUCAACCCUUAUUGAUCAAGUAGUGUUUGUAGGGAUGCAUCUUAAAAUGGUUGGCACAUGGAAUGAGUCCAUUAUUAAAGAUUUCCAGACCGUCACCACCCCCCCUCAUUAACAAACGUUUGAAUGGGAUCAGACUAGAUGGGAGAAAUUUUGUAGUCAAAGGCACAAAUGGUUACAGUUAGAUUGUCAUAUCACCAUAGAUGAUGCAAAAAUGCAUACCUGCACUACAUGUGAUCAGUAUGGCUUGUAGCUACUCUGGUGGCCUCCACGUCUUGGAGUUUUCCCAUAGCCUGCAUUGCCCUGGUCUGGAGGACAAGAAAGAAAAAGACUGAGUGUCUUCCGUACGACAAGGACCAACAAAGUUUCUCACAUUUGUGUUUCGGGUGGUUAUCGCUUACUGUAGUCGUAGCCACCCCCAUAGCCGUAUCCAGCGGAGUAGUCGUAGUUGCCAUAGCCUCCGUAUCCACCAUAGCCUUGCUGUCCACCGUAGCCGUAGCCCUGGUUACCGUAGCCUUGGUUCCAGUAGUUGUUGUAACCACCACCACCACCUUGGUUCCAGUUCUGGCCCUGACCUGAGAAGAACAAAUCAAUACAGCGACUAGAUGCAGUCAUACCCAAACUUCUUAGGACUGUGAAGUACAGUUUGCCCAGGUUAAAUCAGCACCAGAUGUUUGGUGUUAAUACUCACCUCCACGACCCCUGCCCCGUCCCCCACCACCACGGCCACCAUACUGCUGCUGCUGGUACACCUCUUUGGGCUGGGCUAUUUUAAUCUCACACUGGAACAGAUCGUAACACAAAAACUUAAGUCAGCCACAGAAAAAAACCUUUGCAAAACUCACUGCAUGGAUUUUCAAUGUGAGGGAUACAUGUUCCCCGAGGAAACCACUAGAAAAAUUAAAUUUACAUGAAUCAAAGGCUCCAUUUGAAAGUGGGUGGGCAACAUUGUACGUCCUUAAUGUGUACAAAAAGGGACAGUGCACACGGCUUUGCAGUACAUUUGACUGAGAUCCAUUCUCACCUUGCUUCCACUGACGUUAUGGAAUUUCUUUUCUAGCACUUUUUUGACAGGAGUUUCAUCCUUAUACGUGAUGAACACGAAGCCCCUUCUCUUUUCUGUUUUUGGAUCCUGUGGAAGCUCAAUCGUCUCAAUCUGCAUGUGAAGGGAAGAUUAAACAAUUACUGUUAACACAGCACCAAAACCACCAAGUCAGUACUACCACACAACCAAAAUGUGGAUACUAUACCUCUCCAAAAGUUCCGAAGUACUCCUGGAUAACUUCCUUUUCUGUAUCUGGGUUGAGGCCACCUACAAAGAUUUUCUUUACAGGCUCC